CGGACCACGCAUCUUUACAGAGUUGGACGAAUAACUUUAGAAGGCUGACUACUGAAGGCUGAUUUGUGAGGGUAUCAAGUCACAUGCAAGAGACUCUGGAGAACCAACCGCCAGGUGCUACCGGGCACUGAUUCCCAGCUCCAAACUUGGCCCUAAAUGUCUGCAUGGACCUUUCUCUAACGACCAAGAGGAAGAGAGUGUUACUGCAGCGACAAAUACGAG